CAUCUGUCAGAGCUCACGCAAGACAAUAAAGUAUUGAAUUACCAUAUCAUAUAUAAAACAACACAAUUCUGGAGACUCUUUACAUUGUUGAGUCUGGGUUUUUCGAAGCCAGUCAUGAGAUCUCUCGCCAUUAUAACGCUUUUUGCUUGCGUGGUGUUUUACGCAAAUGCGCAACGUAUUUCAUUUCCAUAUCAUGGUGAAGUUAAAGAUCUAAUCGAGGAAAAGGCAUAUGAACCAGACACAGAUGAGCCAGCCACAGAAGGCUAUGAAGAUGGCGAUGAUGAG